rnacentral:rRNA from 1 species
UGGGGAAUAUUGCACAAUGGGGGGAAACCCUGAUGCAGCGACGCCGCGUGAGUGAAGAAGUAUUUCGGUAUGUAAAGCUCUAUCAGCAGGGAAGAAAAUAGACGGUACCUGACUAAGAAGCCCGGCGUAACUAACGU